GGUACAUUAUUCCAUUAGCAACAAAAUGUCUUAUAUAUCCACUUUUACAAAUACAGGACAGCACAUAUCACUGCCUUUGAUAUACCAGUCGCGUGCAAUGUUGUUAGAUACCAAUGCGAUGACGAUGUGUUUCCACUGUCAGCCGAUGUCGUCAACUACCACGUCUCGCAACCAUUUUCUAUAAUAUUUAUAUCAGCCAGUCCAUCUCGUUCAGGGCGUCGAUAUGAGGGUAUCCCAAGUGACCAAGGUUACACCCGAUAAAGUGCAAGUAUUUAACCAUGGUGCGUCACAAGAAGAAAACAAGGUUACACCCGAUAAAGUGCAAGUAUUUAACCAUGGUGCGUCACAAGAAGAAAACAAGGUUACACCCGAUAAAGUGCAAGUAUUUAACCAUGGUGCGUCACAAGAAGAAAACAAGGUUACACCCGAUAAAGUGCAAGUAUUUAACCAUGGUGCGUCACAAGAAGAAAACAAGGUUACACCCGAUAAAGUGCAAGUAUUUAACCAUGGUGCGUCACAAGAAGAAAACAAGGUUACACCCGAUAAAGUGCAAGUAUUUAACCAUGGUGCGUCACAAGAAGAAAACAAGGUUACACCCGAUAAAGUGCAAGUAUUUAACCAUGGUGCGUCACAAGAAGAAAACAAGGUUACACCCGAUAAAGUGCAAGUAUUUAACCAUGGUGCGUCACAAGAAGAAAACAAGGUUACACCCGAUAAAGUGCAAGUAUUUAACCAUGGUGCGUCACAAGAAGAAAACAAGGUUACACCCGAUAAAGUGCAAGUAUUUAACCAUGGUGCGUCACAAGAAGAAAACAAGGUUACACCCGAUAAAGUGCAAGUAUUUAACCAUGGUGCGUCACAAGAAGAAAACAAGGUUACACCCGAUAAAGUGCAAGUAUUUAACCAUGGUGCGUCACAAGAAGAAAACAAGGUUACACCCGAUAAAGUGCAAGUA